CUUUAGGAAUGUCAUAAUGCUCUCUUAGCUGUAGCCAGCAAUUCCCAAACUCAAGUGUAUACGAUCAACUGUUUGAAAAAUUCAAUGUAGAGGAAAUAAUAUUGUAGUCUAUACAGACUCUGUAAAACGUACUUAUGCCGUACGCACACGGCGUGUCGUUUGUUUUUGGUCAACCUUGACUUUCUGCUUCUUGCUAUUACAAAUCCUCCUCUUCUGUCUCCGCCACCAGCACCGCCAGCAGCGUGAGUCACGUAUUGACCUCGCAGCUUUAAGAAGAGGCAAAGCGUCGUGUUUCUGACUCUGAUUUCUCCAAUAAUGCUGCUUUUACAAUUCUUUUUUUAAUUCAGAGGUAAGAAUGAUUCGAUUGGUGGAUGGAGUUAGGUUUGAGGUCUGAUUCUAAGGUCCAAUCCCAAUCCUCACUGUUGACUAAACAAAUUCAAAGCUUUAGAAAAACAAUUUCUCAAGUAAUCGAAGCAAGAACUAAGAAGUAACCGAGGCCUUUCCUAUGGCUGCACUGAUCUCAUAUUCUUUCUCAUGAAGCCUUCAACAACAACUAGUCCACUUUCCUUUCUUUCAUGAUCGAGAAUCAAAUGCAUUUCUUUCAAAAAUCUGUUUCUUCCUCUUCUCCUUCUUCCUCUUCGCCGUCUUCCCCUUCUGUUUCUUCAAAAGACAGCAGUGGCAAUGCUGGUAAUUUCUUUAAUAAUCGUGGGCAAUCAUCCUUUACUCAGAGGAGGCUCACGCGGCAGAGGAAGCUCAGGCACGUCAGUAACCAUGAGCUUGGCUUGCAGUUCAUCGAUCCUUUGAAUUCUCCUCAUGGUUCACCUGAUUCUGCUCAAAAGCCGCGAUCUCUUGGCUCCUCCGAUCGCUGGUUUUCGUCUGCUGUACCGCAACCGUUGCCGCUUCCUGAAUGGCCUUUGACCAAGAGACCGGAUUUGUUGGGCUCGAUUUUCUGCCAGGGUCAUCCUGGAUCACCAGAAGAAGGACCGAGCUCUGUUUUGAGGAGGAAUAGCGCAGAUCAUGUUGUUACAAAGUUUGCUACUUGUUCAAGCAAUUGUCAUUCGAGAUUCUCUCAAGAUGCUAAUGAUGAUGGUGCUAAUUACAACUUAAGACUGAACAUUGCUGCUCGAAGUGCUCCAACAAGUGGAUUCUCAAGUCCUAUGGUUAGUCCUCGAAGAUCAAAUGCAGGGGAACUCUCUCCUGGCGAUGCUACAGAUGCAUUCAAGUCUUCAAGCAAUUGUUGCAAGGGACAGUCUCAUGAUCUAAAUACUGAAAGUUUUAAGUACAAGUUGAGUCAGAUUGCUUCUCCCAGGAGUGCUCCAACAAGCGGUUUCUCAAGCCCUGCUGUUAGCCCACAAAGAUCAAACACUGGGGACUUUUUACCAUCUUUUGUAGCUUCACAAGCAUGUCAUAAGCAGUCAGCUUUGGAAGUACCAGACUUGGGUAGGCAUGGUGGUCAUAGUUCACAAGUGUCACCACUCAAACCCAUGCAUAGUCCAGAUCAUUCUCCAUUUUGUAGCCCAUCAUUGCAAAGUCCCUACCUCAACCCCAAAAGUCACUAUAAGUUUUCAUUUCCAUCGCAUAAUAAAUUGCUUCAAGGGAAUUCUAAGGAGUGGCCUGAGACUAAUAGCCAUUUUAGUGCUCAUCCAUUGCCCCUUCCUCCUGGAGCCGCCCCGCCACAGUCGCCUGUGCCAUCUCCACCAGCUGUUCUCCAUCACGCAAUAGAGAAGCCAAAUUUAUUAUUGAGAAAAACUCAGUGGCAGAAAGGAAAACUUAUUGGACGUGGUACAUAUGGAAGUGUUUAUGUUGGAACCAACCUAGAGACUGGAGCUUUAUGUGCAAUGAAGGAAGUUGACAUCAUCCCUGAUGACCCCAAAUCUGCUGAAUGCAUAAAGCAGCUAGAGCAGGAAAUUAGACUUCUUCAACAUCUAAAGCAUCCAAAUAUUGUGCAGUAUUACGGCACUGAGAUAGUUGAUGAUCACUUUUACAUAUAUUUGGAGUAUGUGUAUCCUGGAUCAAUCAGUAGAUAUUUCCGUGAACAUUGUGGAGCCAUGACCGAAUCUAUAGUCCGCAAUUUCACCCGCCAUAUUCUAUCUGGAUUGGAUUAUCUGCACAGCACAAAGACAAUCCACAGGGACAUUAAAGGAGCAAAUUUGCUUGUUGAUUCAUCAGGUGUUGUUAAGUUGGCAGAUUUUGGCUUGGCAAAACAUCUUACUGGACUAUCAUAUGAAUUGUCUUUGAAAGGCAGUCCACACUGGAUGGCUCCAGAGGUCAUAAAAGCUGUGAUGCAGAAAGAUGCCAAUUCUGAUCUUGCUUUGGCAGUUGAUAUAUGGAGCUUGGGUUGUACUGUCAUUGAGAUGUUUACUGGUAAACCUCCCUGGGGCGAUCUUCAAGGGGUGAGCUCAUACUAGAUUGUGCUUCCUUUUUUAUAUAAGAAAGUUUAGAUGCCUACUUUUUAGAGUGCUCUGUGUCGAUUUGACCUCAUUAAGUUGGACUAUAAAGAAGUGACGAUUGUAUUAGAAAGUUUAUCUUCAAACUGUUCUCUUUUCAAGGGCUGAAUUUGCAUUGUGACUCAAGUUCCUGUCCAGAAUUCCUGACGGUGUCACCUAUAACCGUUUCCCCAGCAUGCAUUUUUGGGUUCAAGCAAAGUUGUCAGUAUUUUGUACUAUUUGUAAUUUGACAAUAGCAUCUUUCUUUGCUUAGUGUUAUUGACUCUCGCUUGCUGAUGAAUCUCAAAAUAUAUCGGUGAUAUUUUGCAUAGUACUGUAGGUUUGUUAAUUGAUUCUUAAUUUAUUUUUAUGUUAUUAAAGCACUGAAAAUGAAAGUAGGGGCAUAUGCAUUUUUCUUUUCUUCAUCUAAGCUAAGUUUUCUCAUCAUCUUUGCCUCCCUCUGCAUUUCUGUUUGGUAAUUCUGUUACAAUGGUGUGCACACUUCUGGGUUUUCUACUUCAUCUCUUAAUUGUCUAAUUCUCUUCGACAUGUCAGCCUCAAGCAAUGUUCAAGGUUUUGAACAAAACUCCACCUAUACCAGAUGUAUUGUCUCCAGAAGCUAAAGAUUUUCUCUGCUGUUGCUUUCAAAGAAAUCCUGCAGAGCGACCAUCUGCUAAUAUGCUACUUGAGCAUCCUUUUGUGCGAAAUUCAAGUGAACUCAAUUUGUUGACCUGCAGACAGGCAUUAUCAGCAAUAAACCUCAUGGCAAGUAUUGAGUAAUAAACCCCAUGGCAUAGUCAGCCUGUAGAUGGGCAUUCUUUCUACUGUUGAUGAACUCCGAAGUGAUUCAUUUUACUUUGAGAAAUGUAUUUGAUUAGUGCACUAAUUACUCGUGUGCCCUUUUUAUAGGAUAAGUCACAAUGUUCCAGAGAUUGUGCUGCACAAAAAAUUGAUUUGAUGCCAACCUCUCCAGGCACACGGAUUAUGAAUGAUAAAAUGCCCAGCAAUAGGUAAAUAUAUCGACAUGCAAUAAAGUGAUCAUUCAGAUAAUACUUCUUAAUUCUUUCAUUUCAUUCUAUGGCUAUCUCGAUUAUUGAUAUAUUGGUAUUUAUAUUUCUGUGUUUUCCCCCUCAGUGAAACCUUUCAACAAAGUUGUGUCAAAACAUUCAAUUCUGCUGCAGUUUCUUUUCACUCUCCAUGUUCUCCACUUGAAGUCCUUCCUUCUCUAUCUACAACACAGUUGGUUUAUGAUUCACAUAAUUUCAGCUCUACUUCAAAAUUUUCCAGCAACAUGCCACUUGGUGCCGUGAAUAACCAUCCUUUGGCUCUUUUAAGGAGUCAUGGAAGGGAAGUUCCACAUAUCUGAAAUAUCCACCGAUUGUCAUGGUUUGAUCUGGAAGCAGUCUUCUUUGUGUACAGCUAGGUAGAAGCUAGCAAUUGACUAGACAGGACCCAAUGGAGGUUUUCAAAUCUCUUUUUAAGGCUUUCAUGACUCUCAUGAGCUUGAGGUUCAGUGUAUCAUAUUCUAUGCUCUUGAUGCAGAAAAGACUUCUUAAUUUGGAAAUCUAAUAAGCUGGGAUGAGUGUGCUGGUCAUUUCCAUCUUCAUCGUCGUGGCUUGAACUUGUGCAAAUAGGAGGGGUUUAGACUUCAAGCAAAUGAUUUAACGAAGAUGUAAAAAGUAGGAAGUGAAAAUAGUAAUUAUUCCCAUUUUAUAAAGAUAAUGACAAACUUUAGUAGAACUUGUAAAUAUAGGAACCUUUCUUCCCCACAAUUUGAUUCAUUUCUAAUAUAGAAAAUGUUUCAGCUGGUUGCUUUUUCAUA
rnacentral:misc_RNA from 1 species